AGCGAACGCUGGCGGCAGGCCUAACACAUGCAAGUCGAACGGACCCUUCGGGGUUAGUGGCGGACGGGUGAGUAACACGUGGGAACGUGCCUUUAGGUUCGGAAUAGCUCCUGGAAACGGGUGGUAAUGCCGAAUGUGCCCUUCGGGGGAAAGAUUUAUCGCCUUUAGAGCGGCCCGCGUCUGAUUAGCUAGUUGGUGAGGUAAAGGCUCACCAAGGCGACGAUCAGUAGCUGGUCUGAGAGGAUGAUCAGCCACAUUGGGACUGAGACACGGCCCAAACUCCUACGGGAGGCAGCAGUGGGGAACCUUGCGCAAUGGGCGAAAGCCUGACGCAGCCAUGCCGCGUGGAUGAUGAAGGUCUUAGGAUUGUAAAAUUCUUUCACCGGGGACGAUAAUGACGGUACCCGGAGAAGAAGCCCCGGCUAACUUCGUGCCAGCCGCCGCCGUAAGAC
rnacentral:rRNA from 1 species